GAUGAACGCUGGCGGCGUGCCUAAUACAUGCAAGUCGAGCGAACGGACGAGAAGCUUGCUUCUCUGAUGUUAGCGGCGGACGGGUGAGUAACACGUGGAUAACCUACCUAUAAGACUGGGAUAACUUCGGGAAACCGGAGCUAAUACCGGAUGAUAUUUUGAACCGCAUGGUUCAAAAGUGAAAGACGGUCUUGCUGUCACUUCUAGAUGGAUCCGCGCUGCAUUAGCUAGUUGGUAAGGUAACGGCUUACCAAGGCAACGAUGCAUAGCCGACCUGAGAGGGUGAUCGGCCACACUGGAACUGAGACACGGUCCAGACUCCUACGGGAGGCAGCAGUAGGGAAUCUUCCGCAAUGGGCGAAAGCCUGACGGAGCAACGCCGCGUGAGUGAUGAAGGUCUUCGGAUCGUAAAACUCUGUUAUUAGGGAAGAACAUAUGUGUAAGUAACUGUGCACAUCUUGACGGUACCUAAUCAGAAAGCCACGGCUAACUACGUG
rnacentral:rRNA from 1 species